GGGAUCAGUGGCGAACGGGUGAGUAACACGUGAGCAACCUGCCCCUGACUCUGGGAUAAGCGCUGGAAACGGCGUCUAAUACUGGAUACGAGUAGCGACCGCAUGGUCAGUUACUGGAAAGAUUUAUUGGUUGGGGAUGGGCUCGCGGCCUAUCAGCUUGUUGGUGAGGUAAUGGCUCACCAAGGCGUCGACGGGUAGCCGGCCUGAGAGGGUGACCGGCCACACUGGGACUGAGACACGGCCCAGACUCCUACGGGAGGCAGCAGUGGGGAAUAUUGCACAAUGGGCGCAAGCCUGAUGCAGCAACGCCGCGUGAGGGAUGACGGCCUUCGGGUUGUAAACCUCUUUUAGCAGGGAAGAAGCGAAAGUGACGGUACCUGCAGAAAAAGCGCCGGCUAACUACGUGCCAGCAGCCGCGGUAAUACGUAGGGCGCAAGCGUUAUCCGGAAUUAUUGGGCGUAAAGAGCUCGUAGGCGGUUUGUCGCGUCUGCUGUGAAAUCCGGAGGCUCAACCUCCGGCCUGCAGUGGGUACGGGCAGACUAGAGUGCGGUAGGGGGAGAUUGGAAUUCCUGGUGUAGCGGUGGAAUGCGCAGAUAUCAGGAGGAACACCGAUGGCGAAGGCAGAUCUCUGGGCCGUAACUGACGCUGAGGAGCGAAAGGGUGGGGAGCAAACAGGCUUAGAUACCCUGGUAGUCCACCCCGUAAACGUUGGGAACUAGUUGUGGGGUCCAUUCCACGGAUUCCGUGACGCAGCUAACGCAUUAAGUUCCCCGCCUGGGGAGUACGGCCGCAAGGCUAAAACUCAAAGGAAUUGACGGGGACCCGCACAAGCGGCGGAGCAUGCGGAUUAAUUCGAUGCAACGCGAAGAACCUUACCAAGGCUUGACAUAUACGAGAACGGGCCAGAAAUGGUCAACUCUUUGGACACUCGUAAACAGGUGGUGCAUGGUUGUCGUCAGCUCGUGUCGUGAGAUGUUGGGUUAAGUCCCGCAACGAGCGCAACCCUCGUUCUAUGUUGCCAGCACGUAAUGGUGGGAACUCAUGGGAUACUGCCGGGGUCAACUCGGAGGAAGGUGGGGAUGACGUCAAAUUCAUCAUGCCCCUUAUGUCUUGGGCUUCACGCAUGCUACAAUGGCCGGUACAAAGGGCUGCAAUACCGCGAGGUGGAGCGAAUCCCAAAACCCGGUCCCAGUUCGGAUUGAGGUCUGCAACUCGACCUCAUGAAGUCGGAUCGGCUAGUAAUCGCAGAUCAGCAACGCUGCGGUGAAUACGUUCCCGGGUCUUGUACACACCGCCCGUCAAGUCAUGAAA
rnacentral:rRNA from 1 species